rnacentral:rRNA from 1 species
AAUGUUGGACAAUGGGCGCAAGCCUGAUCCAGCCAUGCCGCGUGAGUGAAGAAGGCCUCCGGGUUGUAAAGCUCUUUCGGACGGAAAGAAAUCGCGCAGGCGAAUACUCAGCGCGGAUGACGGUACCGUCACAAGCAGCACCGGCCAACGACGUGCCAGCACCCGCGGUAAUACUCAGGGUGCGAGAGUUAAUCGGAAUCACUGGGCGUAAAGCGUGCGCAGGCGGUGGAUUAAGACAGGGAUGAAAACCCCGGGCUUAACCUGGGAGCUGCGCUUGUGACUGGGCAGCUAGAGUACGGCAGAGGGGGGUGGAAUUCCACGUGUAGCAGUGAAAUGCGUAGAGAUGUGGAGGAACACCGAUGGCGAAAGCAGCGCCCUGGGCCGAUACUGACGCUCAUGCACGAAAGCGUGGGUAGCAAACAGG